GUAGGUGAACCUGCGGAAGGAUCAUUAAUAAGUCGUCCUAUACCCCCUUCGUAGGGUAGGACAGUUUCCUCGCGUUUGGAUCCGGGUAGCCUCGAAAGGGGAGGUCGGAUUUCUUCAUAGAAAGUGGAGUGUAAUAAGUCCACCUAUAUGUAAGCUCGCGAUGGUGGGUAGUAAUACCGCCUUAGGGAGACGUGAUUUACACCCGUGUCUACCUUCUUUGUUGCUUUGGCGGGCCGCCGCAAGGCGUUGGCUCCGGCUGACCGCGCCCGCCAGAGGACCUAAACUCUUCUGUUAAUAACGUCUGAGUACCUGUAUAAUAUUUAAAACUUUCAACAACGGAUCUCUUGGUUCUG
rnacentral:misc_RNA from 1 species